CUACGUGCCAGCAGCCGCGGUAAUACGGAAGGUCCAGGCGUUAUCCGGAUUUAUUGGGUUUAAAGGGAGCGUAGGCGGAUUGUUAAGUCAGCGGUUAAAGGGUGUGGCUCAACCAUACAUUGCCGUUGAAACUGGCGAUCUUGAGUGCAGACAGGGAUGCCGGAAUUCGUGGUGUAGCGGUGAAAUGCUUAGAUAUCACGAAGAACUCCGAUCGCGAAGGCAGGUGUCCGGGCUGCAACUGACGCUGAGGCUCGAAAGUGUGGGUAUCAAACAGGAUUAGAUACCCUGGUAGUCCACACAGUAAACGAUGUAUACUCGCGGUUUGCGAUAGACAGUAAGCCGCCAAGCGAAAGCAUUAAGUAUACCACCUGGGGAGUACGCCGGCAACGGUGAAACUCAAAGGAAUUGACGGGGGCCCGCACAAGCGGAGGAACAUGUGGUUUAAUUCGAUGAUACGCGAGGAACCUUACCCGGGAUUGAA
rnacentral:rRNA from 1 species